UGGCUAUUUUACCCACUGCAUUCUGGACUCUAUUGUUUAUUGUUCCUGAUGAGAGGUCACCCGUUAACCAUAUUGGAGAGCAUCCAUUUGAAGAAGCUGAUGCUUGCGUAGACGAAGACACUUGAUUAAGACCUGCUCUGGAUUUGAGCUAAUGCAAGAUUACAAUGAUGGCUCAGAAGACACAAUGCUGAGUAUUACUAGAAAGAAGGAAAAUCAGAAAUCUAAGAUAGCCGAUGUACACCCCAAAAAAAGUCCACAUGUUUGGCAGUAAUUGUGUUAAAAGAGAGUCCAAAGAUUAUGA